rnacentral:rRNA from 1 species
GACAGAGGAUGCAAACGUGGCUCGGAGUUACUGGGCGUAAAGCGCAUGUAGGUGGUCCGAUAAGUCGGGUGUGAAAUCCCGGGGCUCAACCUCGGAAGUGCACACGAUACUGUCGGACUUGAGUACUGGAGAGGAGAGCGGAAUUCCCGGUGUAGAGGUGAAAUUCGUAGAUAUCGGGAGGAACACCAGUGGCGAAGGCGGCUCUCUGGACAGAUACUGACACUGAGAUGCGAAAGCGUGGGAAGCAAACAGG